rnacentral:rRNA from 1 species
UACAGAGGGUGCAAACGUUGUUCGGAAUUACUGGGCGUAAAGCGCGUGUAGGCUGCUUGGAAAGUCGGAUGUGAAAGCCCUGGGCUCAACCCAGGAAGUGCACUCGAAACUUCCGAGCUCGAGUUCUGGAGAGGAUAGCGGAAUUCUCGGUGUAGAGGUGAAAAUUCGUAGAUAUCGAGAGGAACACCGGUGGCGAAGGCGGCUAUCUGGACAGAAACUGACGCUGAGACGCGAAAAAGCGUGGGGG